rnacentral:lncRNA from 1 species
CCUAGACUGCUGCCAACAAAUACUAGAAUGAAUGCACGAUAAAGAGUGUAACUAUGCUGACAAACUAUGUAAUUCCUCAACCUCAUCGUCCCCCAACAUAGAAAUUUCCCCUUUUUCAUCCAACUCAGUAGUACGACAUUUAAUAGAAUUAAUUUUGCCUGGAACAUUUUGAGUGUGAGUCUGAUGCCACUCGCGAAGCGCCCCUUUGAUCAUUUUGAGCUUCUCUUUCAUAACAUAACCACCCCACCCCUCCACAUGACAGGAGCGCCAUUUAGAACUAACAAAAUUCUUAUAUUCAGGAACCUCUUUCCAAC